CAGCAAAUCAAUUAGUUGAUCGUCCUGGCAGCACUGCCAAGUGUCAUUAGUGCUGGAAGCCAUAGCAGCCACCCAGGAUUGGCGCAUGAUUACUUCCUGGAAGUCUUGGUUUUCAGUCUGUGGAAUGGACCUGGCCCUGACUGCACAUUAUAACACAAGUAAUUAUUCAUCAAAACUUGUAGUGCUGCAGGCAAUUCAUUCCUCUCUCCACAGAUGGCCCCAACCUGACCCUGAGCAGCAUGAAUGUGUGCUAAAAAUAGCAGCUAUACAAUGCGGCAGGCGGCCCGGCGAGACUCUGCGUUUAAAUGGUUUUCUUACCAGCGGUUUCAGAGCACUUUCCUCUCAUGAAUUAACCCUCAGAGGAGCCCUGGAAGGGAGCUGACCAUCUUGGCUCAAAAUCCUCUUCAUGAUUACUCCACAGUGUCUGGAUUCCCUCAUACUAACAGGGCUGCUGGACAUCCCAGAGUUCCUAAGAUGCUUAGACUCAUUAAGUUCAACUCUAACCCUCAAAAAGGAGGAUGAUAGACAGGUAUGAUUUCUGCUCUCAAGGAAUUUAUAAUCUAACCAUGCAUACUGACUGUGGUUAUAAAUACAGUAUCUCAUGUAAUUCUUUUGUUUUUUGUUUUUUUAUUUUGUUGUUUUUUUGAGGAGGACUAGCCCUGAGCUAACAGCUGCCAGUCCUCCUCUUUUUGCUGAGGAAGACUGGCCCUGAGCUAACAUCCAUGCCUAUCUUCCUCUACUUUAUAUGUGGGACGCCUACCACAGCAUGGCUUGCCAAGUGAUGCCAUGUCUGCACCCAGGAUCCGCACUGGUGAACCCCGGGCCACCAAAGCACAACGUGUGAACUUAACCACUGCACCACCAGGCUGGCCCCUAAUUCUUUUUUUUUUUAAAGGUUUAAGACAAGACACUUUAUAUUGUCAUUCAAUCUCCAUAAUGAGUGUAUAAGAUAGUAUUUGUUCUUUUUUCCUCCAGCUUUAUCGAGAUAUAAUUGACACAUGACAUUGUGUAAGUUUAAGGUGUAAAUGUGAUUUGAUAUACAUAUACAUUGAGAAACGAUUACCACAAUAAGGUGAGUUAGCACAUCCUUCAC
rnacentral:lncRNA from 1 species